rnacentral:rRNA from 1 species
UACGAAGGGGGCUAGCGUUGCUCGGAAUUACUGGGCGUAAAGCGCACGUAGGCGGCUUCUUAAGUCGGUGGUGAAAUCCUGGAGCUCAACUCCAGAACUGCCUUCGAUACUGGGAAGCUCGAGUCCGGGAGAGGUGAGUGGAACUGCGAGUGUAGAGGUGAAAUUCGUAGAUAUUCGCAAGAACACCAGUGGCGAAGGCGGCUCACUGGCCCGUUACCGACGCUCAGGCGCGACAGCGUGGGGAUCGAAACAGGAGUUAGAUACCC